rnacentral:rRNA from 1 species
AAGUGUAUUCAUGUCAGUACUAAUGCACAAAAUUUCAUUAGAAUUUCACAGUUAAAAGUGUUUGGCGUGGGAGUAGUACUAGAACGAGUGGUCUCAUGGAAAAGUCCUUGUGUUACAUUAC